CCCGGGGCGCCCAGGUGUGGUGAGGUACUCGUCACUGAAGCCGCGGGGCAGGCCGAAGACAAAACUGGUAUUGCUCCGCUAGGGUUACCAGAACUCCCGAACACUUUUCUUUGUUCUAGUACCUGGCUGUCAAGUGUGGAUUAAAUGCUGACUACUUCGUCAGAGUUGGUGAAGCCCCACCGACUACCCGGAGCUCCUUUAGGGCGGGCAGUGCCCGAGUCCUUUAGAGUCUCGGGGCCGGACUGUAGUGGAUGUUCCAUAAAUGUUUGUGAACAUCUGGAGCGCCGUGUCCCGUGGGGGCCCUCGACGUGAGGGACAGAGACAACGAAGCCUCUUUCAGACCUCACUCCAAAUGAUCACCGGGAGACGUGAGGGGUGUUUAGCUCAGAGAAGAGGUAGCAAAAGGCUGGGGACCCCGGGCCCUUUGAGCUUGCAGCCAGCAAAACCUGUCAUGUGACAGCUGCUACGGGACCCCUUCCCCACCCUGCACUUUUGAGGUUGACUUUAAAACUUGUAUAUGUUUUUUUCCUGGGAAAGUGAGUGUGAUAAAUAAUAGGAAACUGCAAGGAAGAGUGACGUUCUCUCCAAAAUCUUGGAAAUAAGGUGAGCAAAUAAACUGAAUCCUCCGUAGAACCAAAUGAAGACUGUCAGUAAAAUGUGUCUCAUACUGAAAAGAACAGUUCCAACCAGUCCUGUGGCUUGGAUGCCUAAGUCCAAGAGGGCUUAUUUGGAAUGUGACUGUGAUUAAGAACGCUUCAAUCUAAUUAAUUGACAGCCUGAAGAGAAUGUGGGAGACGGGCAACCAGGGACCUGGAAAGAGUCACCAGGCAGCAAGGGUCCUAGUGGGCAUAAGUAUUUCAGUAACUAGAGAUAUGCGUUCUCAUGAGGUUCUGGUCUCACCAGGACCCAGAGGAACUAUCCCUUAGCUCCUAUUCCAUAUUCAUUAUGCAGUCUUCUGAUUGUUAUUUGGUUUCUGAAUGGCUUUUCCUUUAAGAGAGAAUGCUCAUAACUAUUCCUGUCCACUCGGUGUUUAUAUUGGUUUAUGCAUUCACCUCUUGUGAGGUUGGUUCCCUUGAAUCAAAUCAGUCACCAGGAGCGGUGAUCAUACCAAGUUGCUGAGUUUGCAAAGCUGACAGACUCUAGGCUGUGGUUACCCGGCUCACUUCAUCCCAACAGUCCCUCUCCUGGAGCAGCCUACAUUUCUAGAGGGCACUGUUCACGUGGCCAGCAAGCAUUCUUGGACUUCUCACCUUCUGUUUUCUGUAACUGCAGCAGGUAACAGGGUGGAGCAGACAGUUGGGUCUGGGCAAGGCCUAGGACUUGGCCUUUGGCUAGAGAAGGAAGCUACCCCCAUGCCCCCCACACCCCCGGAAGAUAUCCCCAUCCAUCUUGGAAGAAAAGAGCGUAGUGAGUCUUCGAGAAGUCUGCAGAGCUGGACGGUCAGUGACAUGAAGGAAUGACAUCAAGACCAACAGAGGAAAGGAGAGGGGUCCUUGAGAGGGACCUGGCCUGAGGGGAGGGGAGUCUGAGAUGGUGACCCAACACCCCUGGGCACGUUUGGUGACAGUCGGUGUGCUGGGCCCAGUGUGAGGCUGCGCUAGAACCCUGCGACCCAGGUCCUCCGGGUGUUGCUUUGGGGAAAGCAGCUCCCUGUGUGGACUGAAAGAGCUGCGACCUGGGGCCCGUUUUGCUAUGAGAUUCCCCCAACCGAACAAAGUGAAGGAAGGAAGCUCCUCCCUCAGAAACCACGCGGAGCGACGUGAGGUGGUCCAGCAGUGACUCUGAUGCCUUUGCCCACCCCGUCCGUCCCUCACCCCACAAUGAGCUUCCAUUCGCCUUCUGCUCUUGGACAAGUAGAACUUGUCUUUUUUCUUGGGGAAGGACCACUUUCAGAGGCUAGGGUUGGGGACAGGGCCGUUUGAUAGAUAUUAAGGGUGCAAAGGUUGUGCUGACCCGAGGAAGGAACAAGAGGGAUUGGUAAUCCCAAGUCAACUGUAAGACCCUCCCCUGUGCUCAGAGCUGCCUUAGUGUAAGGACUGGGGUGGAGAGAAUACUAAAAAUAUCCACGUGGUUCCUACCCUCGGGGUCUUCAAAAGUACUUGGAGAGAAAGAAUAAACACUUGAGAGAUAGCUGUUGGGUCAAAAUUAUAAAAUGCCAGCAUGUGACAGAGAACGUGCUAAAUGCUAGAGGCAUUCGGAGAGGAGAGAGCCCUGGGGGCUGGCGUGUGCUUGCAAAAGGGUCCUGGGGGAAUGGCAGUCAAGCUGGAGCCUGAAGAUUGGGAGGAUUCUGCUGGGUGAGGGGGGUCGGAGGGAGAGGGGAUGCCAGCGACAAGGCACAGGAGCAGGAAGGACUCAGCGUUGUCACCAGGUGGGCUGCUGGUCCCACUGGGAGGGUAGGAAACACGAGAAGCCGGAGAAUGAGGCUUUCUCAGGGGAUAAAGUUCCCGGCCAUGGAGGUGGGGAAUUUGAGCCAGAGGGAGGGUCUGCUGUGUGUUGGGAGACAGUUCUCCACAGACCUCUCCCAUUUCUACACAUCCGAGCAUCAGAAGCUCACCUCUGUCCGAGAGCGUUGCUGUAAGCAGGUCGCCUGGGACGGCUCCAGACGUGACUUCCUCUGGAGCAGGUGUAUUUAUGCUACAGGAUGGUGAAGGGUCAGCUCUCUCCCUCCCCUCCCUGGAGCUGACUGUCUACCUUCCAGGAAGACAUGUGUCCGGCCUGUGGUUUGUCUCCGAGCUCUCCUCUGGCCACUUCUGCCCAUCCCAGGCGCGCGGGGCCAGGCCGGCGGCUUGCUUCAGAGACAAAGUCUGCUACUCCAGAGAAACUUCCAGGCUCCCUGAAAAGGAGAAAGCCGGUGUGGUCAUAUACUGAGCGUGAACAGACUGAGUGCUUACAGCGUCUGACGCUCUGCCGCACGCUUUGUGCGCAUCACCUUGUUUGAUGUUUAAUACCUUCACAACCCUGUGCAGUAUGUUUUUUUCUCAAGGGUCUGCGGGCCGGCGCCCGGAGCCCGGGUUCUAGGAGCAAGAGGCUUUGGACCGAGUCACACCAGGAGAGCCAGCUGUUUGGCAUUGUGGGACCGAAGCAGAGAACAUGCUGGGCUUCCGUGCAGAAACCUUUGGUGAUGAAGCUGGCUCUCAGAGAAGGAGGUGGCUGGGCCAGAACCCCACGUCGGCUGAGCAGGGAGCCCAGAACCUAAGCCUGUCGGCCGCCCAGGGAGCCCGAGCUUGAGCCGUGAAGCCAGCCUCCCUGUUGUGCUCCCCGCGGCCCCUGCACUUCUCGUUUGAGGCAUUU